GCCAAAGAGUUGAUUCAUAUCAUAAAUUGCGGUAAUUGUUUUUUAAUUUAAUCAAGUGCACGUAUAGCUAUGUAAUUAAAAAGCAUGUAGGCGUUCUAGAUUUCUUUAGGAACUACCAAGCACUUUCAGUCUUGCAUUCCGUCUGCUUUGAGCCACAGGCAAUGUAAAGCAAACUUUCUGAAGACCAUUACAGUCUUUGCAAAAAAGAAAGGGAAAUUUUUAUAGCAGGUGUCCCAUGUUAAUGUAAAGAAUGAUUUACAGCUGCUGCUAGAACUUGACUAGCAUGCCCUCAGCUGGCUGGGGUUUCUUGGCACAUGGCUGGUGUGAGGAAUGUUUUAACAAUUCCAAUUCGUGUCCAUAAAUUCGUGUCCAUAAAUUCGUGUCCAUAAAGAACAAUUCUGUUUGAAUCCUGUCUGCCUGGGCCCUGCACUGGCAAUUUAGUUCUUGAACCACAGAUGCAGUGUGUCCCAGUCUCCCCCUCAUUCCAGUCAAUUUAUCACGUCUUCAGAAAACACUCCUUAAAUUUAUGAACCUGUUUGCUUUUGUUAUUCCUGACUUCUAGUUCUAACAGUUACAGCCUUUUUUCCUGUCUUCUUCGAGAUUAACUUAACACUGCUAUAGAUGUGUCUGUGAAUGGCUGGGGAAGAAUGUUUUAAUUACUCGUGAAGCGUCAAAUAAGAAAGCUGUUUGUGUUUGAUGUCUGGGAGUUUCAGAACAACUGAUAACAACUAGUGACUGUUAUGGGAUACUAUGUGGAUCUUUGGUAUCUGGCCAGGGGGCCAAGAGAUUAAGAGGAAGAGAAAAGAAGCUGAAGGACGGUUGGGAGACAAGACCUGGGAGAGUUUACAGAGAGUGUUCCAUAAACUUGGAAUAGUGCCAAGUAAGGGCCAAGAGAUUAAGAGGAAGAGAAAAGAAGCUGAAGGACGGUUGGGAGACAAGACCUGGGAGAGUUUACAGAGAGUGUUCCAUAAACUUGGAAUAGUGCCAAGUAAGUGCAAAGGGUGAGAGGAAGACUACGAGCCUUCAGCAUGAAAGACCCCUAGAGACCCCCAGAGGAGACUGAUGCGCAUGCUCCAGUAGGAGGAACUGGACCCCGGAAGCUAAUUAUAAUAAUCUACUUUUUUAGAAGUAGUAAUGAAUAUGUAUUAGUCUAGGUGCAUAAAAAUCAGCUGCUUGAUGUAACUGGUGUGCGUCCUGGUGGAGCGGAGACUCCCGGUGCACCCAGCGCUGUUUGCUUACCUCUAUUCCUUUAUAUUCUUUUAAUAAAUCCUAUUUUUUUAUUUAAUCCUAAUUUGAA
rnacentral:lncRNA from 1 species